rnacentral:rRNA from 1 species
UGAACCUACGGGAGGCAGCAGUGGGGAAUAUUGCACAAUGGGGGAAACCCUGAUGCAGCGACGCCGCGUGAGCGAAGAAGUAUUUCGGUAUGUAAAGCUCUAUCAGCAGGGAAGAAAAUGACGGUACCUGACUAAGAAGCUCCGGCUAAAUACGUGCCAGCAGCCGCGGUAAUACGUAUGGAGCAAGCGUUAUCCGGAUUUACUGGGUGUAAAGGGAGCGCAGGCGGUCCGGCAAGCCUGAUGUGAAAGGCGGGGGCUCAACCGCCGGACUGCAUUGG